rnacentral:sRNA from 1 species
AGCCUGGAUGUAAUAAAGAUUGUCCAUUAGGUACGUUUGGUUUUCGGUGUAAAGGUGACUGUGCAUUGAAAUGUAAGGAAGACUGUCUAGAACGUAUUUAUGGUACAUGUCCAGAGACGGCAUCAUCUUCUAGGUAUAUUGUCAUCAUUUUCACUAUACCUGUUUGUUGCGCUUUGUUUAUUCUGUUAGUAGCAAA